UCUAAGCAUUCAUUUCUUCCUCUUGCAGAGAGAGAAGCAAAAUGGCUUACGCUGCUGUAACUUCGCUUAUGGAAACACUUUCUCUACAUUUCUUGCAAUCACAACCACGCUUCCCUCUUGAAGAUUUAGAGGCACAGAUCAGACUUGGCAAUGAAAAUGUUGGCUUGCUGCAACAAAUUCUUGAGGCUCAGAUCACAGAGAAAGAAGAGUCAUCAAAGCGUCUUCGUAUAAAGGCUUGCUUCCCCAGGGAUUAUGGAAAGCAGCAGCUUGCUUGGGAUACUACACUGUUGAAUUCUCAGCUCAAGGAGGUGGGUGAAGUGAAACAAAAGAUAGUUUCUCUCCAUCAAAAUCUGGGCUUGCUGCAACAAAGUCUUGACAAAUCUGAGAUCCCCUAUGAUGCGAGAGUGAUGAAAGAUUUAGAGGCAAAGAUCAGAGAUGCAUCGUUCAAAUUGGAAGAAAGGAUUGAGAUGGAGUUGAGUGCCAUUUAUCUAGCAAAGGACAGCCUUCGUAUAACAGCUUGCUUGCUCAGGCUUCAUCAAAUCUUCAAUGAAGCACAAAAACAGAUUGGUUACCAGAUCAGGGAUGGUAAUGAAAAUCUUGGCUUGCUGCAACAACUUGUUAAUGCUCAGAUUUUUGAGAUGGGUUUGGACGAAGAAACGUCAUCAUUGAAGAAGGCGUAUCAGCAGCAGCAGCAUCGGCUCAAAGAGAAGAUGGUCUCUUUCAGUCAAAAUCUUGGCUUGCUGCAACACAUUCUUGAGAUUGGCAAUGAUGAUGCGGCGAGGGUAGCCAUGAAAAGUUUAUGGGGAGAGAUGAGAGAUUAUGAAAGGUAUUUCUCCAUCAAAGCCCAAGAAUGGAUUGAGAUGGAGUUGACUACCUUUUAUCUAGCAAAGGAUAGUCUUCUUCAUAUAACAGCUUGCCUGCUCAGGCUUCAUCAAAUUUUCAUAGAAGCACAAAAACAGACUGAUUACCACAAGAAUGAGUUGAUUAGGAUUCAAACUCAUAAAAAAUACCUGCAUGACCUAGUACACUUUUCCAAAAACGCUUCAAAGUUUGACGGUGGAAUGGUCGGAUGUGACAAGUUGUUCAAGAACAUAUUGGAUCAGCUGCUCACGCAACAAACAACUAAGGGGAGACAAGUUGUUUCAAUUGUUGGCAUGGGAGGAAUAGGCAAGACCACUCUAGCACACAAACUUUAUCAACAUCCAUCAAUUACUUCUUAUUUCGACAAGCGAGCAUGGGUUACUGUAUCUCAAGAGUAUAACCUAGAACAAAUGCUCCGAUGUCUUCUUAGUUGUGUUACUGCAACAGCAUCAAGAGAUGGCCAAGACCAAUUGGCUAAACGCCUGCGUAAACACUUGAAGGACCAGAGAUAUUUGAUAGUGAUGGAUGAUAUAUGGAGCACUACUGCUUGGGAUAAUGUGCAAAGAUGCCUUCCAGAUGAUAAUAAUGGAAGUCGUAUACUAUUGACCUCUCGACUCAAAGAGGUAGCAGAAUAUGCUAGCUCAGGUAACUCUCCUCUUAACAUGCCUUUCUUAGAUGCUAAUGAAAGUUGGAAUCUCUACUGCAAAGUCUUUGGUAAAAUUGAAUUCCCUCUGGUGUUUGAGCAAAUUGGUAGAGACAUAGUGAAAAAAUGUAAAGGAUUACCUCUAGCUAUUACUAUAGUAGCUAGUCUUCUCUCCAAGACAAAAGAGGAGGAAAAGUGGAAGAAUGUUGCAAAAAGUGUAAUUGGUGAUUCUAAUGAAGCAUGUUCAAGAAUAUUAUAUUUGAGUUACAACCAAUUGCCACACCACUUAAAAGUUUGUUUUCUAUAUUUUGGAAUUUUUGAAGAAGACUAUGAGAUAUCUGUGAAGAUGUUGGUUAGGUUGUGGGCGGCAGAAGGAUUUUUGAGCACGGUGAGGCAUGUGGAUUUGGAAAAAGUGGCUAUGAAAUGCUUGGAAGAUCUUGUUGAUAGAAAUCUUGUUAUAGUUAGCAAACAUAGCUACAAUGGGGAAAUGAAGAAAAUAAGGAUUCAUGAUCUGUUGCGAGAUUUGUGCUUGAGAGAAGCUAAACUUGAAAAUCUCUUGAAUGUCAAUGAAAUUCAAAAACCUUGUCGUUGGAUAAGUCACACAUCAGCAACAUUUUUAUAUGAUGAAAUAUUCAGGUUUGAAGAUGAGUACUUUCACAAAUCUCAUUCCUUUCACUUAACUCAUAAUAUUCACUAUUUUUGGUAUGUAAGGGUGCAACGUCAAUUUUCACACUGCUUGAAACUACUAAGAGUAGUGGACAUGAGAGAUAGAUUUUGGAAAGGAGAUAUACAUCUAUAUGUGUUUGAAAAACUUGUUCAUUUGAGAUACUUAGCUUUGUAUACAAAUGGGCGUUGUGAUUUAAACCUCUUUAAGUAUUGGAAUAAUAUGCAAACUUUUAUUGUUAGUGGGGAUCAUGCUAUAUUGUAUUCCUCUGAUGAGCCAUCUAGAAUUUGGAAAAUGCCAAUAUUAAGGAAUUUUUGCAUUGGAAGAAUUUGUUCAUUAGAAACUCCGUCGGUUGUUCAUAAAAACUUGGAGACUAUAUCUUGGUUGGAUUCUAUGUUAUGUACAAAGGAUCUGUUUACAAUGAUUCCGAAUUUUAAAAUAUUGGGGGUUGAUUGUGGUGGACACUAUGGUAUUGGUCCAGAUUGUUUUUAUAAAUUUUGUGUACUUGGAACAGCUUGAGAAACUAAGAAUCAAAAGGUGCAGGGAUCUCAACCUUGUUAUGUGUAACAUCUCAUGGGCAACUAGUUUACCAAAUCUUAAGAAGCUCAGCUUCUUGAAGUGUUGUCUGCAGUGGAGUGAGCUAAGCGGUAUUAGUAUGUUGCCUAAUUUGGAGGUUCUAAAAUUGAUAGAUGCUUGUGAAGGCCUAGAGUGAGAGACAUGUGAUGGAGGGUUCAAUCGAUUGAAGAGGUUGGUAAUUAAAAGUAAAACUCUCGAAAAUUGGAAUAUUGGGGGUGACCAUUUCCCUAUGCUUGAAUGCUUGGAAAUAAUUGACUGUUCUAGGUUGAAAGAAAUCCCUCGUGGUUUUGCCGAUAUCACCACACUAGUAUUGAUUCAGAUAAGCAAAUGUCGGUAUUCCCUUGUGGCUUCUGCAAAGUGAAUUCAAGAAGAGCAAAGCAACAACUAUGGAAAUGAUGCCCUCCUUGUUCGUUCCGAGAAUAUUAGGACUUGAAAAUUAUGGUAAGUGGUUUGAGGAGGAAGAAAGAGAUGAAUGAAUAGCAGUAUGUAGAUAGGAAGGCCCGGAGGAAUUGUUGGAAGAAAUGACAAAUUUUAAAUGUGCAUAGCGGUGAGCUGAAAUGGUCUCUGAUGGCAAUUCGUUCUCAGAAAUCUGUAUUGUUCGUUUCUUAAGUUUGUUUGUUUGUAGAGAUUUUGGUGGUGGGGAAUUAGUUUGUAGAUAUGAUGGUUGCAAUAUAUAUAGCUGCACUGCAAUGCAAUGAAUAAUCAAUCAAUUUAUUUUUCUCUCA